CCAGGCUUGAUUUUUCUCAUCUGGAGGAGAGAACUAUGAAACCAGCCUCACAGAGUUUGGGAGAAUGAUUAAACGGGGUCAGUCAUGGAAAGUGGCCUGCCAAGUGCUUAACACAUAGUAGGCCCCCAUGACUGCUAGUUGCUUAACAUAUUUCUCUUCCCUGUUCCUUGCUCUUGUCUGCUGGCUCUUAUGAGAGCAUGGAAAAUGGGAAGAAAGAAAAUGUAUGAAGAAAAAAGGGGUAAUCCAGGCAGAGAGAAAGAGCUGGAAGCAAAAGCCUGAGAAGGAAAGCCUGUACAUUCAGAAGCCAGAACAAUGAUGAAAGAAGAUAACAGAGCUAGUGUUUGCUGCCUUGAACACCAGAAACCUCGCUGUGUGUUCUUAAAGAAAAACCCAGAGAAAGCCAAUGAAAACUACUGUCCUAAAUUUGAUGUUUUUCAUUUCCAGGUAUGUCAUAAUGAUUUUAUUACAUAUGUUAAGCGUCCCUAAAUGUUAAAUGAUAGUGUAAGCUUUUCAGAUAUUAUAUAUAGAUAAUAUAUUGUAUAUCUUCUUUGGCACCCUUUUUGUUAUUUAAUAUUACACUUAAGAAACAUAUACUGUUUAUACAUGUAGUUCAUUCAUUUUAACUAUUCUAUUCUAUGUAACUGUACAAGAAUUUAUCCAUUUUCUUGAAUGAUGAUGUAAGUUGUUUCCAAGUGUUUGCUAUUAUAAACAGUGCUGCCAUCAGCAUUCAUAUUCAUGUCUCAUUAUGCUGGACUUGUAAGCAUUUCUCUGAGACACUUCUGAAGCAGAGGUCCAUGGGGUACGUAUCAUUCAUUUUGGGGGUAUUGGCAAAUUGCUCUCCAGAAGAGAUUCCUACCAGCAGGAAAAUAAAAGUUCCUGUUGCUGUAUGUUCUUACCAACAUUCAGUGCUGUCAGUAUUUCUUUUUUAAUUUGGCAAACUAAUACAUGUUAAAUUAUGUUUU